UGUCUUGUAAUUGGAAUGAUGGGAAUUUAAACCUCUUCCAGAGUAUCAAUUGGAGGGCAAGUCUGGUGCCAGCAGCCGCGGUAAUUCCAGCUCCAAUAGCGUAUAUUAAAAUUGUUGCAGUUAAAAAGCUCGUAGUUGAAUUUCUGCUGCAUUACAUAUCUCUUGUUUGAGUUUGUUUUUGUGGCUUAUUUCGGUUUGAUUUUUUCUUUCCGGAUGAUUACUUUGAGAAAAUUAGAGUGCUCAAAGCAGGCUUUUGCCUUGAAUAGUUUAGCAUGGAAUAAUAAAGUAGGACUUUGGUUCUAUUUUGUUGGUUUUAGGUACCAAAGUAAUGGUUAAUAGGAACAGUUGGGGGCAUUCGUAUUUAACUGUCAGAGGUGAAAUUCUUAGAUUUGUUAAAGACGAACUACUGCGAAAGCAUUUGCCAAGGAUGUUUUCAUUAAUCAAGAACGAAAGUUAGGGGAUCGAAGACGAUCAGAUACCGUCGUAGUCCUAACCAUAAACUAAA
rnacentral:rRNA from 1 species